CCAAAGUCUCGGCCUGUCGCAUUGUGCUUGGUAAACGAGCAAUGAAAUUGAUACAAAGCUGUGAAAGCGAUUUUAGAAGUCAGUCAUAGCCGGCAUUUCGAACAGUUUGGAUGUACUUAGCGGAAAAUAGCGAAACAUAUAGAAACAAGAGAGAUUGAAGAAGGCCAGAAAUAUAGAUAGCAGACAUAUAGGUAGGCUGUACUAAACUGAGGACCACUGUGUGUUGGUAGUGAUUUGAUUUGAACAACAACAACCACUCCCACACCACCUUAAUUGUCACUAAUACUACCGUAACAUUGUGCACGCGUGUGUUUGUGUCCUUUUUGGGUUUUCGAUUUUGUGACUAUUUGAGAUUAAAUAGCAUUAAUAUUGGUCGAGCUGGCAAUGUUGAUGCUGGCUGUCAGUUAAUGCUUAAGUGAUGUGUUUGUGCAUUUGCUGUUUCGUGUGUGUAAAAAGAUUAGAUUUUGCAUAAAAUUGACACACUCACAAUGCUGCAUAUGCCUCUUGUGUACUUUAAUGUAAAGAUGCGGGCGAACAGUUUCCUUUAAAUGUAUUUUAGUGCGUCACAUCACACGCAUCUGGAAGCGUUAUUGAAAGCACGCAUAAGCGGUGUAGCGCUUAGUACUAUGCCACAUUGUUUUAGAGCCGUUUGGUGGAAGUAGUCCGGAAUUAAAGUUAACGCUGUGCGCGCACGGUGCGGACGGUUUAAAUGCAGCAGAGUAUUGCGCGGUCGGGUCGAAUCGUAAAUUAAGUCGCUUUUAGUGCCGUAUUUUAGUAUUUUCGUCAACAGCGCAAUUUUCCAGAGUGUUUUCGCCCAAAAAUGUGCUUAUAAAAAAUUUAUAAACGAACGCAAUUAAAGCGAAAAAUGUAGCUGAAUUGUAACGAACGCUGAAGUGUUUGCUGCUUUUGAGUGAACAGCGGUAAUAAAAUAAAUGCAUACAUUAUAAAAUAAAAAAAAAACUAAAAUUGAAUAUAAGGCUGAAAGUUUUUCGCCUGAAUUUGCACAAGGGCUCAAGGAGCAAACGGGCUCUAACUGCUGCUAUGAUGAGGAGCGAUAGUAAAGUAUUUAAGAGUACAAUGGAAUGUGAACGUAAAGGUGUGUAUGCAAAAUAAGGAGAAAGCCAAAUUAAAACAAGGGAAGGUUGAAGUAUCAAAAGUUGGAAAUUCCAAACUAGGUUGGAAUAAAAAGUGUGUGUAAAAGUGUAAAUGGAAUUACGGCGUGCGAAGAGGAAUUGUAACUGAGUUGAUGAGGUGAAAGCACGUAAUUAACCAAGCGUGGGUGUAAUAAUAAUAAAAGUCAUAGCAGCAUUUCAGGCGGUGCGCAAGAUCAACUCCCUUGACUUCCAACACCUCUUUGGCACUAUCCAAUUGCGCAACAAUUAUGUUGGACAACUAAUGCACUCUACGUAAUUACAAAAAAUGCCAAAUAAUUGAAAGCAAAACUGCAAUAAAGGGAAAUAGUUAACCAAAAAACUGUCUGAGUUCUAACCGCUGUAAACAAACAGUAAAUUAAAGAGAGGGACACAUAUUCAUAUGAACAAGGAUGUGCGUGCUGCUGUUAACAUUACUCAAGGCAAAAAGUACCAUGCCCAAGUCCUCGCUGUUGCUACCAUUGUUAGCAGUGCUGAUGGUCAUGCUGCCGACGCCGCCAGUUGCCAAAGCCACAAGCGGCUUACGCGUGCCCACUUUCAUGCAAGAACCGCCGGCGCGUCUGCUCUUCAGCAAUGACACCGGCACUCAGAUCAGCUGCACGUCGCAUGGUAAUCCGCCACCGGUGGUAUCGUGGGUGCUCAAGGAUGGCACGAUGGCGACGCAGGUGCCGGGACUCAGAAAAAUUACUGGUAAUGGCACAUUAUAUUUCCCACCGUUUUUGGCGCAAUACUAUCGCACAGACGUGCACGAGACGAUAUAUCGCUGUCGAGCAGCCAAUGAAGCCGGCACUGUGUUGAGCCGGAACGUGCAGGUGCAAGCAGUUGUUCGCCGACAGUUUCAUGUGCACGUGGAAAACACCGAAGUCUAUUUGGGAAAUUCAGCGUUGAUCAAGUGCGCUAUUCCGGACUAUGUGAGACCGUAUGUUAAGGUGUCCAGCUGGCAUCGCGGUGAGGAGAUACUACUGCCCGAUCUAUCAGAUGUUGCUGGCCGUUAUGUGGUACUUUCGUCAAAUGGGGAUCUCUAUAUACGCUCGGUGCGCACAGAGGACAGCUUAGUGAAGUUUUCUUGCCUGGUGACAAACACACUGAAUGGGGAUAAGCAGCGCAGUGAUGCUAUAAUGUUGCAGGUGAAAGAGCUGAGUAAAAAUCUUGCUCCACGUACUACUCAGAAGCCAGUAAUGGAAAUACAUGUGGAACGGGGUAAUGAUGUCCAUUUACCGUGCAACAUCCAGGGAAAUCCUUUUCCUAUAUUUACAUGGUAUCGUGUUUCGGAUUCAUCAGCAUUGUACCCGAUUCCAUCUUCACAGCGUGUAAUAUUGUCACGCACGCUGUUACUUAUCAAAAAUGCUGACGAACGGGACGCCGGCAAAUGGGUGUGCCAAGCGGCGAAUCAAUUCGGCGAACAGCGCAUCGAAAUCCGUCUGCUGGUUAACUCAUAUGUGUCGGUGCAUAUUCUGCCGCAAGUGCAAAUUGUCAAUUCGGGCGGAAUGGCAAUUUUCAACUGUUCGACCACGGGUUCAGCUAUCGAUGGCGUCGAGUGGCUGCACAAUGGAAUGCCGUUACAGGGCAACAAUGCGCUUAGCAACGGCCGGGAGAACAUACAGUUUCUUACGAAAACAUCGCUGAUGGUACAUAACGUAGGACGUAGAGAUCGGGGAGUCUAUCAGUGCUUGGUGAAGAAUAGCAGAGCCAGUGCCCAAGCCAUGGCCGAAUUGAAGUUGGGCGAUACCGUGCCUGAACUAAUUUACACCUUUAUUGAGCAAAAUGUGCGGCCGGGGCCAUUAAUAUCGCUUAAGUGCUCUGCCAGUGGUUCGCCGCCACCGCAAUUUGCCUGGGUGUUGGACUCCCAGCCGAUAAUGGACGUUUCGCUGCAUCACCGCUUUGCCAUCGGUCAGUUCGUCGAUAUAUCUGGCGAUGUGAUUAGUCACUUGAAUAUGUCGCAUGUGCGUCCAGACGAUGGCGGCCUUUACAAGUGUAUCGCCACCAAUUCGAUGGGAAGUGUGGAGCACUCGGCGAGAUUGAAUGUUUAUGGUCCGCCAUAUGUACGCGCCAUUGGCCCCAUAAAAGCUGUCGCCGGCGAAGAUAUAAUUGUUCAUUGUCCAUUUUCCGGUUAUCCAAUCGAACAAAUUAGAUGGGAGAAAGGACAUCAGGAAUUGACAUCAAACACACACUACUUGAUGACACCAGUGCAGCAGGGCGGCUAUCUUGUCAUCAAGGAUGUCGAACCGACCCGUGAUCAGGGCAUGUAUACAUGCAUUGUAAGGAGCAGGGCCGGAGAGGAGGCGCGGCGCGAUGUGCAACUAAAUGUUAACAGUCCACCAGUGAUUGAAGCAUUCAAGUUUCCCAAGAAUCUGCAAGAGGGAGGACGUGCACAGAUAACUUGUGCCGUUUCAUCUGGUGAUAUGCCAAUCUAUUUCAGUUGGAAGAAGGAUGACAUGUCCAUACCGACAAGUUUGCAGAUUACUGAGAAAAAGGAGGAAUUCUAUUCGCUAUUGGUGUUCAAGGAUAUCAGCGCAAAGCAUAGCGGGAAAUAUACCUGCUAUGCGAGUAAUGCGGCAGCCAAGGUGAACUACACUGCCGAAUUACAAGUCCGAGUUGCGCCACGCUGGGCGCUAGAGCCAAUGGACACGGCCAUCAUGCUUGGCAAUACAAUAUCGAUAAAUUGCGAGGCGGAAGGAUAUCCGAUUCCAACUAUUACCUGGUUCAAAGGGCAGGGCAAACUGUCACAAGACUUUAAGCCGCUCAGCAUGCGCAACAACUCGCUAGUGCUUAAUCUAGCCACGGACAUUGAUGAGGGCUACUACAUGUGUCACGCAGCAAAUGAUAUUGGAGUCGGUCUCAAGAAAAUUAUACGUAUCAAUGUGAAUGAACCCGCCCGCUUCGAACAAGGGGCACGCAAUGUAUCAUCACGACGCAAUGACCCCGUUAGUCUCGACUGCCAGGCGAAAGGCGACGAGCCCAUCGCGAUUUCAUGGACACACAACAAUGGCCGAAUUGAUCUAAACAAUUUCCGUUUUAGCAUUGCGGAAAUGAAAACGGAUAAGGGCGUCGACUCACAGCUGACCAUUGCCCGUUCGGAUCGUCACGAUUCGGGCAUUUAUCGUUGCAUUGCCGAAAAUCCGUAUGGACGCACUGAGUUCGUCAUCUUCUUGGCCGUUCAAGAACGUCCUGACACUCCAUCUGUACUGGAAGUCUUUGAGGUGGGCUCACGCACCGUAAAACUGUCGUGGCGCCGCCCAUUCGAUGGCAAUUCGCCAGUACUCAGCUAUCUCGUACAAUAUCAGCCAUUGAAGUAUCUGCAGUCACAUGCUGCGCUUGGCAUGGCGGGUGGGGAUUGGAGUGGUCCAAACAUCAUCAAUGUCACUCUGCCGUCGACGAGUAUUAGCCGGAGCUACGACACCGAUUUGAGGGAAAGUGCCAUUGUGACAGGAUUGACACCGGCAACCACUUUUCUCAUUCGCAUGCAGGCAAUCAACGAAAUCGAGCGGAGUCCAUUCACCGAUCCUAUUGUGCUGAAAACUCAAGAAGAGGCUCCAACCGAAGCACCCUCAAAUGUGCAGGUGCAAACUGGUGGCGAAAGUGAACUGAUUGUGACAUGGCAGAUACCAUCACGUGAAUCUUGGAAUGGUGAACUCAUCGGCUAUACUGUUAACUGCAGCGAGGAAAAACAGAACAUCAACUACAUUAGCGUUGUCAAUAAUUCACUCAAGUCGGUGAUUGUAAGUGGUUGGGCCACCACAAAAGCAACCAUUCGCGGGUUGCGCAAAUACACCAGGUACGCGGUGACUGUGCGAGCACUCAAUAGCUUUGGUUCGGGACCCUGGAGUGCUGCCAUUUUCGGAACGACAGCCGAGGGUGUUCCUGAAGCUCCGCCGCGGCAUGUUAACUGUACCGCAUUGUCGUCGCAAAGUCUGAAGAUAUCCUGGCUCGAGCCGCCGUUGCAAUUUCAUGGUGGAAUAAUCCAAGGCUAUAAAAUUUUAUAUCGGCCAAUUGUGAAUCAAAUUGACUUCCCCGCAAAAUUGGAGGUGAAGCGUACCUCCAAUCUGGAGACUUACUUACACACUCUCCAUAAGGCGACUAAUUACUCCCUACGUGUGUUGGCAUAUACGGCAACUGGGGACGGUUUGUCCAGUCAACCGUUAUAUUGCCAAACUGAGGAUGAUGUGCCGGACGCUCCAGCGUCUAUAAAAGCAGCCGCAUUAACGGCUGAUUCAAUAUUGAUUUCGUGGUUGCCGCCAAAAAAUCGCAAUGGAAUAAUUUCGCAUUACACAGUUUAUUCGCGCGAAGCUGGGCGGAAAGGGCAAGCGAAAUCUCAUAUGGUGCGCGUCGAUGAGAAUGGUUAUCCGGUGACUUAUGAAGCACGCGGGCUUGCAGAAAACCAAAUGUACGAAUUCUGGGUUUCUGCCUCAACAUCCGUUGGAGAGGGAGAACCAACAUCUGUGGUUGCGCAGGCCACAAAUACGCGUGGUAAGUGUGUCAGAGUGUAUGUAGGUGUGACAGGACAGAGGUGUAUGCGGUCCGUUCGACCACCAGCCCUCUGAUUGAUGGCUCUGUAAGCACGUUAAUGCAGUAAAGCGGCAUCCAUAACAACAACAACAUAAUUCAUCGAUCCUAUAGAAAAUUAAAAAUUAAAUUAACAGUAGGUAAAAAAUAUUAUUACACCGCGCUGUUCAUUGUGAAAACGAAAAGAUUGAUAUGUGUGUAAUUGCUUUAAUUCGUUCACGGAGAAAAAUCAAUGUUCUCGUGAUUAUCGCAAAUUUUAUUUAAAAGAUACCAAUGACUGAAGUAUAAUAUUUUUUGUGUCCUGCAAGGUUAUUCUUUCGGUUUUUCUUUAGUUUAAUUAAAAGACAGGUAUGCGAAAUCGAGAUGGUUUUAAAUUUUCGCACCUACCCUACAUAUACUCGUAAUUAAAUUCUGAAUGCAUAUAUACAUAUGUAUGUACACUCACGCAUGUUUAUGCAUAACAUAAACUAACUAAGCUAAGCAAUUUCGCUUUGUAAAAUCUUUCAUAAAUUGGCAGCUUAGUUUUUAUAAUCCCAGCACUAAAUUAUUCUAAUCUAAUCUAAUAAAUCAAUCUAAAUUAUAUCAAUAAUAAUCCAAAAAUUAUCGUGAGCGUUUGCGUCACCUACCUGUCAGUAAGAGCGACCCGACAGCAGUAAAACCCAAGCCCCUGCACGGAUCGCUUCUUUUGGCCAACUAGUUCGGAAAGCUGUCGGCACUGCCUUGAUUUUGGAAUGUUUGGCUGUGGGAAAUCCGACGCCGCGAGCUAGAUGGUUAACUAGAGACCGGCCUGUCACAUUCAGUCCCUUUUAUGAGGUGACUAACGAAGGAAAUCUAAAACUACACCGCGUAGAGAGCAGUCUGUCCGGAAAUUACACUUGUACGGCGAAUAAUCUGUUCGGAAGCGAUGAGAUUCAAUAUCAAGUGAUUGCCAUGAAGCCACCCUUCGCCCCCCAAAUCAUUGUGCAAUAUGCGUCAGCUGAUAGCAUACGUGUCAGCUGGGAUCCGCCGGACGACGGUGGUGCCCCAUUGCAGGGGUAUACCAUUUCGCACCGCAUCACAGGAGAGACAUGGACACAGACCGAAUUGAUGCCGGAGAAUAACGCUUAUACGAUAACGGGCUUGAAAUGUGGCAAUCAGUAUAUCAUCAAGAUAUCGGCGCAUAACAUUGUCGGCGACGGCGUGUCCAGUGAGGAAAUUAACGUCUGGACCAAGGGCAAAGCCUCACAGGCGCCGAACGGGAAUGAACUGAUAGCCACUAACGCGUCCUGUGUGAAUUUGAAACUAUCAACGUGGAACAAUGGUGGCUGCCCCAUACAUCACUUCUCCAUUGAGCACCGACCGCUCGGGGACAUCCGUUGGACGGUCGUCACAUCCGACAUCUCGAAUGCCGAAGAGAAUCGCGAAAAUUUAAUAUUUUGCGAUUUCCUGCCAGCCAAGUGGUAUCAACUGCGCGUUUCGGCCACAAAUGAUGCUGGUAAAACCACUGAACACUAUCAUUUUGCAACAACGAGUCUGGAUGGAGUGACAAUACCACCGCCACAGGUUUUCCCAUCGGAAAAUGAUUUGAUGAACAAUCUGAUAAAUGCAACAAAUCCCACCAACGGUGAUUGGUUUUCAACAUUGAUCGUCAUCGUUAUCAUCACCGUGGCUAUCAUUACCAUUGCUUUAACAAUUAAGCAUCGUCGCACUCUGUGCGGCCCCAUGGCCGAUGGCUACGAGUCGCGUACACUACCCGGUGAUUACAAGGAAGACCAUGACAAUCGACGCAAUCAGCAGGUGUACAGCGCUUCUCCAGUGAAAACUGUAGAUAAAGGAAACGAAUCAGAAAUGUAUGAGAUUUCGCCUUAUGCUACAUUCAGCGUGAAUGGUGGACGGACGGGCACGGGUGCAGGCUCUUCUUCGAAAGCACCACCUCGCGAUGGUGUUUCCGCCUCCCCAAUGGAUUACACCAUGCAAUUUAAAACUUUCGGGCAUCCAGAGGGCGACAAUCUCAAUGCUACAGCUUAUCCUUUGAUACCGGGCAGCGGCGGAUUCGGGCAUGUCAAGUCCAAGUCUAGCUGGCACAAGCAGCGCUACUUCAACACGGACGAUGAAUCUACACUUAGCAAAUCGAUGACCAUGGUGGCUGGGUCACAAUCGGGGUAUUCGAAGAAGAGCGGACGCGGUAGCAAGAGCGCCAGCAGCAGUAGUGGUGGUGGAGGUGGUAGCGGUAGUGGAGUUGUAGGCGAUUCUGGUGGAGUAGUGGCUGGCGCACACUGUGAAUCGGAGUCCGAUACGAGUAUAAGUCCCAGUACUGAGUUUUCCAAUAUGCCAACAUAUAGAGUUCCUUGUAAGUCGAUGCGCAGCAGCGAUAGGCGCGUAGCUGCAGAUAUGUUUCGACCAGACUCGAGCACGGAAUCCAACAAUGAACAGUCCUCACCGGUGGACCGACGAAUAAGUGGACGGCGGCAACUGGGCGAGGUGCUUGAUGGCGCAGGAAUUGCUGGAGGUGGAAUUGGGAGUGGAGAGAGUGACAAACGUGGACAUCGUAGUAGGAAACAACAGCAACAACUGCAAUUACAACAGCAAGGAAAAGAGCAUCAAACGCUGGACCGGAGAAUAGGCCCUGGAAGUAACAACAGGUAGUUCAGGUACCUAAACCCCAAACACCACCAAAGAAAAUUGAUUUGAAUUGAUAACAAAUUAGACAGGGUAUCAAAUACACGUUAGAGACUAGAGUAAUGAAAUACAUACAUAUGUUGGUAUGUACAUUGCAGUAUUAUGUUUUGCGAAAAAAAGUCAAAACAACACUUGUGAAAUUAUUUUCAACCAGAUGCGAAACAAGUUACUCAGUGUAAUAUAAUAUUUGAAAUUUACUUCUUAUUUUUUGUUCACUUUUUUUCUUAACAGUGGCGCCUACUUCUUAGUCAAUGAUUUGGACUAAAGUAUUUUCAGUAAUAAGUGAAGUAUUUUAAUUGUCAUUUUUUAAAACCAGAUAUAUGAGUAUAAAUAUACGGUUUAAACUACUAUACUAUAACUAUCUUAGAUGUACUUACAUGUAUACUUUUACAUAAACUUUAGAUAACAAGACGAUUAUUUAUUAUUUUUGUAGCAUGAACAGAGUAUAUUAAGUUAAUAUUGCCACGAAGUUUAUAACACUCAGAAGGAACCUUCGGAGACAAUUUAAAAUAUAUUAUAUAUAAUAUACUUGUACAAUGUAUAAAUAAUCAGUGAGAAGAGCUGAGUCGAUUUUACAAUACCCGACUGUCUGUCGGUCCGUCCGUCCAUCUGUCAGUAUAUACAAAAACUAGUCCUUCAGUUUUAGAUAUCGAUUUGAAAUUUCACACACGUCCAGACACGUUUCUACAGAAAAAAGUUUUCUUCUGUAACUAUGCCGCAAAUUAAGGUAAAAAACUGUAAUUUGGUAUAGCGAAACGUAGUAAAGAAGAGCGUCUAUUGUUGGGAAUUUAUUGAAAAGUGGGCGUGGCCGCCUCCUUAUAGAUUAAAUGCAUUUAUCGCCAAACCACUAAAGUUAUUGCAUAUCAACCAAAUUUGUGAGGGCAAGUACUCUUUGCAUUUCCUCCGACAGUGUGAAAAUGCGUGGAACCUAUUGAUACUCCAUAUACAGUGUGUUUAAAAAAUAACGUUUCCGUUUUCCAAAGUGUAGGUAGCGUUUUUUGGGAAACAUGUUGUAAUUAUAGAAAAUACGUUGUUUGGUCUUAGCUGCGUUAAAUCAAUACUUACUCCAAUCUCCCUCGUUGUCUAUUAUAGCCGGACAUCUUAGAUGGCAACUUUCAACCUAAUUUUCUGCAUAUUCCACAGGAAGCGACAUCUAGGUAUGUUGGAGUAGCCAAAUGAAAUGGUUUGUUAACGUUAAAAGUUUUCCUGAUAUCAAUGCUUUUAUUAAAGAUUCUCUAUUGGAUUGGCGUCUGUUGACUGUGAUGACCAAUCUAAAGCAACAAAAUGGUUUGCUUGUUUCCAUUGAGAACAGAGUCUGCUCGUAUGUUUAGGAUCAUUGUCUUCUUGCAGUAUCCAUUCCGUUAUUUUUGACGUUAAGGAUUGCAGCUGACUCCAGUAAAUUAUUUUUAUUCCAUUUUAUCGUUCUGAUGGCGUUCAGGUUUUCUGUGAAGCCACUCAAAACUCGAAAUCGAUCAGCAAAGAAAUAUCCAUAAACAUGCAUAUUUUGGGAGUGCUUGCACUACUUUGAAUAAAUGUUUAUCGUUUUCUUAGACAAACACGUCUCAAGGGGUUGAACGAUACAAAAGUUGACUCAACGGUAAACACUACAGUAAUCCAAUCACGUUUGAUACUUAUUUGCGCACCAUGCAACCUUUUUUGAAUACGGGAUUUCUGAAGUCUGUCCCGUAUUUUAUUUAGAAAUAUAUAUAAUAGUAAUUAAAUUUUGGUAAAUACCUGAAAACAUGCCGGCUUUGACCAUUGAAAAUUACAAGUAUAAAAUGUUUGAUUACACCCGACCUCAGAUCAUCCUUACUUGAUGUUAUUUCUCUUUAUUCUUCAAGUUACUAUUUGCCUAUUAUAUUAAAAAAAACUCGUUUCGAAGAUAUAGGUAUAUUUAAAGCCAAAAUCUGUCAAGUUUUCAAAGGAAUCCGAAUACGAGUAUGUAAACCGUGAGAACUGCAACUAGUCGCUCUUUAAAUAUUAUUCUAUAUUACUCAUGCUUACUUAUAUUUAUUUAAAAAUACUUAUGUACAUCAAAGCGUUUAUAAUAUUGCUGCAUUUAAUUUUAAAAUGUUUCGUGUUUUUUCAUCGCUUUCCACAGUGUAGACAGUGAGGUUAACUCGGAUAUGGGUACCUCCUUUACGGCCACCAUAGCCGCUGUGGCUGCGGGAGACCUGGGUUUUCGUCCACCGUCGGGUUUUACUGAUUCGCGUGAAUUCAGCGAAGCUGAAUGCGAUCGCGAGCAACGUGCACUGGACUUGGAAGUGCAACGUGUUAUGGAAAACACCGACGGACAAUUGGCCAAGAUGGAUCGAGAGGAAUUGACUUCACUGCUAGCAAGAUACCAUGAGAAAAAGGAGCAGGAGCGCCUGGAAUAUACUAUACAUGUUUAAUAUUUAUUGGAGACUAUUCCCAUGAAUAUUCACAUAUGCAACCGCAUUGAUAUAAGUACACUGCUGAGCUAGUGAGUGCCUAAUCAAAGUAACUAUUGCAUUUUAAAUACUCGCGCGCUGAAAAAUGAAGAAAUAAAGCAAACUGACUACAACAAAUCAACUAACGAUCAACUCUCAAAGGCAACAAAUGCAUUUAUACACGCUCACAAACAAGGACCUAUACCAAGUAUCAAUUUUAACUAAACCAAAUGUGACAAAUUGAUUUUAUUUACCAUAUAGCAUACAAGCUCGUAGAAUGCUAUUUCCACUCACAGAUAAGUAUUUAAGUAUGUAAAUAUAUUGCAGUUGAGCAUCCUGCAGGACAACAUAAUAUAGUUCCCUUUAAUCAGUAAUUUUUUAAUGCACACGAAUGGACUUAGACAAAUUCUUGUUCAUAAACUUAAAGCCACAGUUAUAAAAUUAACUUAUGGUACACAAAAUAGACUCCGUUCAAGAUGAAGUUAUUCCUCCUGGGAGUCUCAAUAUAAUCUUCCCCCUACACUUGAAGCUUAAUAACUUCCUUAUUGAUGCCAGAUGUAGCGGAAACUUUGCGGAAUUCUUAAAGUUAAGCUACUGCAAGAUUGAUAAAUUUUAUUUAAUGUUCCCUCUAGGCUAUCAAUGGAAUUGAUAGUCUUGGAACUUUAAACACCUGAGCUAUUAACUACAUGAUCUUAGCUCUCUUUCCAGUGCAUUUGUCAUAUUUGAUUCAUUUUAGAAUCAGAAUCAUAUCAGCAUUAAUAAAACAAGAAAAUGAUACUGCUUCCUUCUGAAUGAACUGAAAUUUAGAUCUCGACAUUCAACAAACACUUGCCUAUCGUUACUCGGAACGAAUAAUAAAAUUUAAUUGCUUACGGACUACGCUGGAAUAAAAAUAUUCGCAAUCAUUGUCUCCUCUGAUGUGUUGGCUUCCGGGUUUUUGCUUCUAAAAUUUUGAUAUUGUGAAGUGGUGAAAAUCUAUUCAUUAACAAGGUACGUGGGCCUACGAAGUAAACAUAUACUUAUCUAUGUAGGUGUGCAUGUCGUGUGGCAGCACUCAUUGAAUUGGCCAUAGCAACUAUACUUGUAUAUUUACAAAUAACAACGAUAUGUACACACACAUAGCCACACUUCGCAGAAAAAAUUCAUAAAAUAUGUUUGUGAUUUACACUUUUAUGCACUGUUAUUGCAAGUGUGUUUUUUUACCUGUGCGCAGUUAUAUACGUAAGUGCGGGGUACGAGUUUUUCAACUUCGCAUUACAGCAAAGAUAUCUAAAAGUGCGUAUAACGCUUUCGAUUGUAUUUUGGAAUUAGUUUUACGUAAUGAUAAGAUACAUCUAUAUGAUAAUGAAAAUGUAAUAAUAAAAACAGCAAAAACUUUAACUUCGGCUGCACUGAAGCUACAAUACCCUUCUUAUUUCAGUCUGUUUACAGCUAUAUCCUAAUCUGAUAUCGGUGACGGACAGACGUACAUAAAUAAAUCGACUCAGCUAAAUUGAUUAUAAACACAUACAGAACUUUUAAUUAAAUAUUAGAAAUUAAGCAUAGAAAAUGAAACACAAAAUCAAUUUUAUGGCAGUUUGUGCUGGAGUUUUUAAGCUUAGCAGAAAAAAUAUCACCAAAAUGUUAAUAAAAACCAUUUGAUUACUAUUCCUAACCAAUUCUUUAUUGUUUUCGGUAAAGCACUGUGAGCAAAAUGUUUUAUAAGAGUAUAAUAAUUCCAACACAUAGGUAGAAUAUAAACGAAUAUCCAAAGCCAAUUCGGUAACAUAGAUAUAGCAUUUUGCAAUAACAUAGAAUACGUUCGAGCCAAAACAAUUUUCUUAUAUCUAUCACUCUGAGAUCCCUCGAGCUAUUGAAGAGUUUUAACUAAAGUUUGUGGGAGACGGAUUUUCUUUAAUAGUAUAACACACAUUUUAUUGCAUUGGAGUGCAUUACAUCUUAGCAUAAAAUUAAAAA